GUCACCCUGGCCUCCAGCCACGCUCUGAGCUGACCGAGCCUGCGACCGGUUCAAGGCUGAUUCCCCUGGAAGAAGUCAGAAGUUUUCCAUGUUAGGAGGCAGGUGACACCUCAGCCAACCCUUGGACCUGAGGGUGCGAGCGAGGCCAAGGCUGUCAUUCCAAGGUAUCAAAAGCCUGGGGUUCUGCUACUUUUGAACAAGAGCUACACUCCAUUUUUGAUUCCCUUGCAAUUAAGAGAGGUAUGAUUGAUUUCAAACUGAUGGAAUGUGAGUGGAGAGUUCAUAUUCCAGUUUCAGGCCAGGCCAUUCGAAAUUGACCACAUAGUCCUUCUGGCUCUUUUCCUAUCUUUUGACUGUAUAUCAAAAAGACAGGGCAACCUUGAAGAUGAUGAAGCCACCAGUCGCCUGGGUCACUGCAUGAGACAAGCCGCAUACCUCCUUCCUUCCCAGUCCAGACCCACAUUAGACUGGUGUAAACAAGAAAUAAAUUACUGUGUUUAGCCACUGGAAUUGUGGGGAUUUUUUGUUUGUUUUUGUUUUUAUUUGUUUGUUUGAAUUGGAGUUAGUUUGCCUUAAAGAAUAGACUCUCCAAAAAGCUUUCCUAUUAUGAACAGUAAUUCUCAAUCCGGGAUAAUUUUAUUCCCCAAGGAUCAUUUGUCAGUAUCUGGAGACAUUUUUGAUUGUUACAACUCGGUGGGGAGAUGCUAUUGGCAUGCAGCGAGUGUAGAGCAGGGAAGAUGCUACAUCUUACAAUAUCCUGCAGUACACAGGAUGACACCCCCACCACAAAGAAAUGAUCUAGUCCAACAUGUGAAUGGUGCCAAGGGUGACAAAUCUUGCAUUAUGAGGGUAAGCAUGAGAAAGUGUCAGGCUUAUUAACUACUAGCUGUUGAAAAACAUGUCUUUAUCUCAAUAUUAGUUUCAUUGCAAAUAUAACAUGAGUUCUAUAGUCUAUAGUCUAUUACAAAUAGACUAUACUAGUAAGUAGUGAUCCCGACCUAACAGAAUGUGAAAUAUUAGAGCAUUCAGGGGGUGGCAGGAACCAUUUAUGGAAGUGGUAACUUCUUGGUAUUCUGAGCUUCUCUUAUGUUUGCUGCUGCUUAAAAAUAUUAGCCUAAAAUAAUUUUUAUGCCAAAAAGGCAUCUAUUAGGGAUGACAUAUUAUUUUCCCCUUCAACUAAUUUAACUUUCUAAAGUAGAACUCAAUGAUAGGGAUAAAAUAAUAUACCAUAACAAUUGCUGGGGCACCGGGGUGGCUUCGCUGGUUAAGCAUCUGACUUGAUUUCAGCUUAGAUCAUAAU